CCGGCCUCCCAGCCCCUGGGAGCCCCCCAGGAGUGGAUCCUGCCCCCCAGAGCCGCACGGGUGCCCCUCGCUGGGCCCCGGGAGCCGGGGGGCCGCUGCAGGCGCGUCGGCCACGCUGAUGGAUGGGGCUCCCUGGGGUCUCCUGGGAGCGGCGGGCGGCGGGGCCGGGGGCUUUGUCUGCUGCCAGAGACGCUACCGGGAAUUAGCAUCUGCCAGGGCCUCUGUGGCUGCGCACCGUCCUGCAGCAGCUCGGUAUCCUCCUCCCCGCACGGCUCUGGCGCCUUCCUCCGCUGGCACCGAGGGGCCGGGCACCCAGCGGGGUCUGAGCCCCACGGCACUCCGGGCACCCACCGCGCCCACAGAGCCCGGCCGGGACCUGCCAGGGAGAAGCUGGGCAGGGGGUGAAGACGCAGCUCGGAGCCGCUCGCCACCCCCGGCCCCGCGGCCGCCGGCAGCUCGCCCGGCACGCUCCGCAGCCCCAGGGCCAGGUCAGUGUCCAGGGAGGGAGCAGGAUGGCACAGCCACGGCCACCUGGGGUCGUGGCAGCUCCAGUGCAGUCACAGGCGGUCCCACAGCCCUCCUGCCCCACGCCGGUGGUCCCUGAUCCUGUGUGCCCCCAUCCCAGGGCAGGACUGCAGUGUGACAGUGCCAGCCCUGCUGCCAGGGGUUGGGCACAGGGAACCAGGCAGGAGCAGGAUGCUGCCACAGGGCGUGCCAAGAGACACGGGACUGAGAGGAGCAGUGGAUCCCAAACUGGGGCUGGGACCCGCUGGGUGCCCUCAUCCCUGUGAGGGUCCCAAAGCCGCCCCCUGCCCCGGCUCGGGCACCGGACACCGCGGGCUGCCCGUGACAGCCGGGACAAACAGCUCUGGAGCUGCCUGGCAGCAGCUCCCGGUCCCGCACCGCGCUGCCCACACCGCACCACCGCGUCCGACCGGCCCUGGGGGCUGCCCGGUGCCCGGCAGGACGUGGCGGCUGCAGCGCUGGGGCAGCACCGUCCCCGCUCCACCGAGGGAUUCACCGCUCCAGCCAACAGCGGCCCCGGCUCAGGGCACGGAGCGGCAGCGCUGGGGCAGCACUAUCCCCGCUAGCACAGGGCACGGGGGGAUUCACAGCUCCAGCCAACAGCGGCCCCGGCUCAGGGCACGGAGCGGCCGCGCUUCACACGGGGCACAGCCGCCCUUGGCCGGCGCACCCGGGCUCCGAGCCUCAGCGGCACGGCCGGGGGGGUCCGGGGGUCC
rnacentral:lncRNA from 14 species